rnacentral:rRNA from 1 species
AGUGAACGCUGGCGGUAGGCCUAACACAUGCAAGUCGAACGGCAGCACAGUAAGAGCUUGCUCUUACGGGUGGCGAGUGGCGGACGGGUGAGGAACACAUCGGAAUCUACUUUUUCGUGGGGGAGAACGUAGGGAAACUUACGCUAAUACCGCAUACGACCUACGGGUGAAAGCAGGGGAUCUUCGGACCUUGCGCGAUUGAAUGAGCCGAUGUCGGAUUAGCUAGUUGGCGGGGUAAAGGCCCACCAAGGCGACGAUCCGUAGCUGGUCUGAGAGGAUGAUCAGUCACACUGGAACUGAGACACGGUCCAGACUCCUACGGGAGGCAGCCGUGGGGAAUAUUGGACCAUGGGCGCAAGCCUGAUCCAGCCAUACCGCGUGGGUGAAGAAGGCCUUCGGGUUGUAAAGCCCUUUUGUUGGGAAAGAAAAGCAGCAGGUUAAUACCCCGCUGUUCUGACGGUACCCAAAGAAUAAGCAGCGGCUAACUUCGUG